GACGGGGGAUGCGAGCGUUAUCCGGAAUGAUUGGGCGUAAAGGGUCCGCAGGUGGCCCGGUCAGUCCGCUGUCAAAGCCUGGGGCUCAACCCUGGAGAGGCGGCGGAGACCACCGGGCUUGAGUCCGGUAGGGGCAGAGGGAAUUCCCGGUGGAGCGGUGAAAUGCGUAGAGAUCGGGAAGAACGCCAGAGGCGAAGGCGGCUACCUGGACAAUUGCUGACGCUCAGGCACGAAAGCGUGGGGAGCAAAAGGG
rnacentral:rRNA from 1 species